rnacentral:lncRNA from 10 species
ACCACUUUUGUUUUCAUCUCGGAGACUGCAUAUCGUGAAUUGCGUAAGUCACUGAGACGAAUAAAUCAUUGAGAGAAGCUAAUCAAUGUCCCUGGAAGUUUAUAUUUCAUCUUCUCUUAGAUAUCUGGUGUGCUGAAAUAACACAGGGUUUCCUACACCUUAGCCUCAUUUAUUUUCAGCAUCAGAAGGACCCUUAAUGACAGGGCCUUUAUGAAGCAUUAGAAAAUUCCAGGGCCAAUAGAUAUUCUGAACAGAAAGUGCUGACUUGAAAAUUCCCUAAACUGAGGAUUGCUGCCGUUACAGCUGCAUGAGCUCUGACAUUAGUUGUUGGUAAAGUGCAUGGGGUCAGGGUUCACCAUGACCUUUUCUUCAGCUAGAAGAGUAAGGGAUGACUGACCACAGAUACAACCCAGAUACUGUGGUACUGCCCAAGUAUCCAGUUCACAGAGAUCCUGCAGUGCUCACAGCUGCUCACUUCCUAUUGGGUUGGCCAUGGAACCCAUGGAAAUAUGCGCAUAUGGAGAAUAUCUUGAGUACAACUUCAGGGAAUUUGAAGACUUUCUGAAGUCCAUCUCAGCACCCCGUGGGGUCCAAACCUCACAGUAGAGACAGGGUUUCUCCAGGUUCACCAGGCUGAUCUUAAACUCCUGGCCUCAAGUGAUCCACCUGCCUUGGCCUCUCAAAGUGCUGGGAUUACAGGAGUGAGCCACCCCUCCCAAUCAAGAGACGCAAUCUUUAUUAUCAUCUGUGCUCAGCCACUUCUGCUUUGACUUCAAACCCUACAAGAUGUUUUUCUCCACAAAAUUCAGGAGGAUCAAAGCUGGCUGGAGGACUCUGUGGUAUUGGUUAAUAUCUCCUGAACUGCACUUGCUAAUAAGAAAAGACUUUUACUUCCGCUACAGAUUGGUAUCAGUACUUGUUCUAAUGGACUCCUUAAACAUCCAGAAAUGCACAAUAUUUUCACUUGCCUUUAACUCACCACUUUCUGGGAGGAAGUUCCAUCUCUUAUACACCCAGCAAUAUGACUGUAAGCACAAAACAAGCUGAACCCCAAUGCCACACAUAUCUGAACUAGCCACAUUCUUAACACUGUCACGUCAGCUCAGAUGUGCUCUCCUCCUUUUUCAUCAAAAUGAAACUGUCCCCAGAAUGUCAUUAACCACUAGCUUUGUGUGUAUUCAGGAAUGGCAAAACCCAUGCUGACCUUGGCUCCAUUGCUAGUUGACCCUUCCCACAUUCCCCCUAAAAAGCAAUUUUCUCCUCCCACCGUCUCCAUCAAUCUAGAGUCAUCAAAGAUGAUCAUUACCUGCUACUACCUUCUAGAAGAGUCACCCGCAAAAUUGCUCUUCUGUAUAGUGACCCUGAAUCUCUAGGCUGUUUAAUUUAUUUCACUUCUUUAUAAUUAAAUUAGACUGUCUGAUAUUUGUGUAUUAUGGUUACUUUUUUCUUAGCUUCUCCAUUCUACCACAGCUGCAGAUGCUACCUCAGAAAUCCAUCAUAAGCUUGUGAAGGUAGCAGAAACGGCAGGCGCUGAAUUAUUUGGAUAUCGCUGACAAAGCCUUUGUUAUUCCCUCCUUUGGUGUCCCUACAGGGCAAUUUUCAAAGUCCCUGGAGUCCUCUGGGGGGUCCCUAAGAUACUUCAAAGAGGCCAUGGGUUCAAAAGUAUUUUCAUAAAAAUACUAAGGUAUUAUCUGCCUUUUUCAUUGCAUCAUCAUUUGAACUGAUGGUUCAAAAGCAGUUAUAGCUACAAGUGCCAGUACCUUAGUUUGAAUCAAGGCAGUGGCACCAAACUGUGUAGUAGUCCUAUUUGUCAUCACUGUGUACUCACAGGAAAAAAAAAUCCAGUGUAACUUAAUAAUGUUCUGGUGAAGCAGUAAAAUAAUAUUAAUUGUAUUAAAUCCCGACCCCUGAGUGCAACAAAAUGAGAGGUAUACGUAAAGCACUUUGCUGCUUACUCAAGUACAAUAUACAUCUAUGCAGAUAUCUGAGUUGAGAGCUGAACUAGCUGGGUUUUCUUUUCAUGGAACACCAUUUUACUUGAAAGAAUGACUGACAAACUAAGGUUAUUUAUACUUAGGUGUUUGGCAGACAUUUUGUCAAAAAUGAACAAAGUGAACUUGUCACUUCAGGGAAAACAACUGAGAGUAUUUGUUGCCAACAAAAAAAAGUUCAGCUUUGAAACAAAAUUUAGAAUUUUGGAAAAUUUGUAACUGCCACUGUGAGCUUGACAGCUUCCCCGAUACUUUAAGGCUUUUCUGAUAAGACUGGUGUGAUAGUAAUGAAUGUGAUCUGUUGAUACUGCCUUAUGAAAUGUGUCAACAUUUGGAAAAUCUAUUUAACUCAGUGAAGCAACAUUUUCCAAAUGACCAAUGCAUGAUGUUACAAAAUCAGACAUGGGUAAAAGGUCCAUUCGAAGUGCAAAACAGAAUAGUUGAUUUUAAGGUAAUGGUAUGACGAACAGGAAAAUUUCAUUGGUAAUAGUUUCAGAUUCUGCAUUGCAAUUAUCUUUUAAGAAACUGCUGCUUGUGGAGUUUUGGUGUAGUAUCACAGAAUAAUAACAAUUAUCUACAAAGGUUACUAAAUACUCUUUCUCAAUGUGAGAGGCUGGAUCUUCUUCACAUACUUCAAUCAAAACAACGUAUCGCAAUAGAUGGAAUGCAGAAGCAAAUGUGAGAAUCCACUUACCUUGUAUUAAGCCAGACAUUGAAGAGAUUUACAAAAAUAAAAUAUUGCUCUUCUCACUAAAUGUUUGUUUUUGAAAAUAUUGUUACUUUUUGUUAAAAUAUGUUAACAUGUAUACUUACUGCUUUUUAAGAAAAAAUUCUUUUUAACAUUUCUGUUUUAAUUUCUAAUAUAAUAGAUACCAAUAAAUAUAACCCAUAUAAAUGAGAGUUCUUUGGAGUUAUUAAUAAUUUGUAAGAGAGCAAAGGAGUCCUAAGACCAAAAACUUGAGGCCUUCUGUUCUAUUUCAUGCCAUGGUUUGCAUAGCAAAAUUAUCUGUUGUCUAACUCAUAAGUUAGACAUUACUUCAAGGUAGCCAUCUGCACACAAAUGUUUUGUAUUUGCAUGUAUGGCAAAAAAUAGACUAAAUUUCUAAAAUUUUGUGUACCUUAAUAAGCAAGCUCUGUAAAGUUAAAUUUGUAAAAUUUUGCAUUAAAUAAACUAAGAACACCUGUUUUACAAUGGUCUAGUGUCCUAGACCACUAAAUUUUUCAGUAUGUUGAAUAUAAUCAUUCUUACAAGCAAAAAUCCUUAAGGAAAAGACAUAUGGUUAACUUUGUGUUUUUUUCUUUUCGAAUAUAUGUAUUUAAUGCUAUAAAAUGUCCUGUAAGCACUGUUUUUACUGCAUCCUACAAAUUUUGAUGUCAUAUUUUAAUUUUCUUUUUUAUUAAAUAUUUUAACUUUCAUUUUAGGUUCAGGGAUACAUGUGCAGGUUUGUUAUAUAGGCAAACUCACAACUUGGAAAUUUCACGUACAGAUUCUUUCAUCACCCAGGCACUAAGCAUAGUGCCCAACAGUUUCUUUUCUCUGAAUCUCUCUCUCCUCUCCCCUUCCUUCCUCCCCAGUAUCUGUUGUUCGCCUCUUUCUGUCCAUGUGUUCUCCUUAUUUAGCUCCCUCUCAUUAGUGAUAACAUGUGGUAUUCGGUUUUCUGUUCCUGUUUUAAUUCACUUAGGAUAAUGGCUUCCAACUACAUCCGUGUUGCUGUAAAGGACAUGAUUUUUUACUUUGUUACGG